rnacentral:rRNA from 1 species
GACGAACGCUGGCGGCGUGCUUAACACAUGCAAGUCGAACGGAAAGGCCCUACUUUUCUGGGGUACUCGAGUGGCGAACGGGUGAGUAACACGUGAGUGACCUGCCCUUGACUUUGGGAUAACUUCGGGAAACUGGGGCUAAUACCGGAUAGGAGCUCCUGCUGCAUGGUGGGGGGUGGAGAGUUUCGGGGGUGGGGGGUGGACGCGCGGUUUCUGAGCUUGUUGGUGGGGUAGUGGCUUACAAAGGCUGUGACGGGUAGCCGGCCUGAGAGGGUGACCGGCCACAUUGGGACUGAGAUACGGCACAGACUCAUACGGGAGGCAGCAGUGGGGAAUAGUGCACAAUGGGCGGAAGCCUGAUGCAGCAACGCCGCGUGCGGGAUGAGGGCUUUCGGGGUGUAAACCGCUUGCGCCUGUGACGAAGCGUGAGUGACGGUAAUGGGUAAAGAAGCACCGGCUAACUACGUG